GUAGGUGGCAAGCGUUGUCCGGAAUUAUUGGGCGUAAAGCGCGCGCAGGCGGUCCUUUAAGUCUGAUGUGAAAGCCCACGGCUCAACCGUGGAGGGUCAUUGGAAACUGGGGGACUUGAGUACAGAAGAGGAAAGCGGAAUUCCAAGUGUAGCAGUGAAAUGCGUAGAGAUUUGGAGGAACACCAGUGGCGAAGGCGGCUUUCUGGUCUGUAACUGACGCUGAGGCGCAAAAGCGUGGGGAGCAAACAGGGAUUAGAUACCCUGGUAGUCCACGCCGUAAACGAUGAGUGCUAAGUGUUAGGGGGUUUCCGCCCCCUUAGUGCUGCAGCUAACGCAUUAAGCACUCCGCCUGGGGAUACGGCCGCAAGGCUG
rnacentral:rRNA from 1 species